rnacentral:rRNA from 1 species
UACGAAGGGGGCUAGCGUUGUUCGGAAUUACUGGGCGUAAAGCGCGCGCAGGCGGUCUUUCAAGUCAGUGGUGAAAGCCUGGAGCUCAACUCCAGAACUGCCAUUGAAACUGCAAGACUUGAGUACGAGAGAGGUGAGUGGAACUGCGAGUGUAGAGGUGAAAUUCGUAGAUAUUCGCAAGAACACCAGUGGCGAAGGCGGCUCACUGGCCCGGUACUGACGCUGAGGUGCGAAAGCGUGGGGAGCAAACAGG